AAACCCACUGUGCACUUCUUCAGCCUGCCCCUACUUGGGUGACUACAGGAGUCUGAGUACUACUGGUUGUAAUGGAAGUGUUGGGAGUAGCUAUCCUGCUAUUUUUCUGUUAAAACCCAUAUUUUCUUUGCCUAGAUGCUUGCUACUAACUGCUUUUUCACCUCUUGUCCACCCCUCCACCAGCCGCUUGGGGCCACCAUUUUAGACUUCAGCUGGAGCUGCAAGGAGUUAGUGAUCUUGUUUUCCAGUGACCCUAUUUGAAGUAGAAAGAACUGGAUUUUGCCAUCAUUUACACCUCAAGGAGCUGCCACAGGAGGAGGGGCCAGUGUUUGCCAGCUUGCUCUGCUCCCUGCAGCCCUCACUGGGGAGCCGCGCCACAGGAAAUGCUGAGCAGGAAUCAGACAUGAGAGCAUCGUGCUGGGUUGGUUUUGCUCUUGGAAACAGAAGGUGGAGCAAGCCACAGCUGAGACAAGUGUCAGGGUCUGCAGUGAAAGCAGGGUCCAUGCCAAGCAGGACGGAGGACUCUAAGGGGUCACAGCAGAGAGCUGCAUCCAUGGGAGCAUCCUGGAGCAACUGGCCACAUGGUGCUGACAUCCGAGAAGAUUUUUAACGUGAUUUUUCACCAUGCUGUUCGCUGCUGACACCACCUUCCUCACUGCAGGUGCAUCUACUGCUUGUGCGACAUUUUAUGCUGUCUCAUUUGGAUUGUAUCUCAAGGAGGAUUUAGAGGAGCUUGCAAGCUGGAGAUCUGCUGGCUUCCCAAAGGUUGGUUACGUACAGGACAGCUGAAGCCAGAGAGGAACAUCUGUGACCACGAUAGCUUCUUCCUUCUGCCUAGGGACUGGAAAAUCCCUGGGUCUGUCCCACUCACACGGCUGCUGAGGAAGCCAUCUUUUGUGCCUUUGAAUCUUUCACUACCCUGACAUUAUCACUGUACAUUUAACUGGCCAAGACAUAUCCUUGCCUGUGCUGUCUGUUUAGACACAUUCUAGUUUUGAAGGAUUUUUGUUCGCAUACUCUACCUCUCUUUUCGACCAUAUCAGCUAUUUCUGAUCCUCAAUGUUUUGGAUAAGUGAUAUACAUUUCUUCUGACACUUUCAUAUGUUAUUUUUAAGCUGUGUUUAUGCUUCUUGCCAACAUUUUAUCCUUGCGGUUCUUUGAAUUUUGUAUUAAAAACCCUAUGAACAAACUACACAAUUCAGAAGAUCUUUUUAAGUCAGUCACCAUCUUAGGGGAUUUCAGGCUUUUUCAUCCUGCUAAGAUACUGAAUUCAAGUAUAUUUUGGUCACUAUUAGUGAAUAACCCUUUCCUAAUAGCACUUUGAACCUCCAAUGUUGAAUUUGAAUUGGACAUCAGACAUUUGAAUUCAGCAUUUGAAUUUAUGUUGACUGAAUUUGAGUGCAGCCUGAACAUGGCCUGCACCCAGGAUCUGAGGAACUUGGGUGGCUCUAGGCUGCCUGGCUGGAGCUGUGCACUGGUUGGGAACAGCCAGGAGAUGCAUAAGAAAGUAACUGAGACUUAAACAGAGCUUGAAACAAGUUGUGUUCCUGUAUUUAACAACAUCUAAUAUACAUAAAGGGAAAUUAAAAACCGCAAACAAAUAAACCGUACCUAAAGAAAGUAAAAACUGCCCCA
rnacentral:lncRNA from 1 species